UACGAAGGGGGCGAGCGUUGUUCGGAUUUACUGGGCGUAAAGGGUGCGUAGGCGGCGCGGUAAGUCGGGUGUGAAAUCUUGGAGCUUAACUCCGAAACUGCAUUCGAUACUGCCGUGCUUGAGGACUGGAGAGGAGACUGGAAUUUACGGUGUAGCGGUGAAAUGCGUAGAUAUCGUAAGGAAGACCAGUGGCGAAGGCGGGUCUCUGGACAGUUCCUGACGCUGAGGCACGAAGGCCAGGGGAGCAAACGGG
rnacentral:rRNA from 1 species